rnacentral:tRNA from 1 species
GGAGGGAUGCCAGAGCGGUUGAAUGGGGCGGUCUCGAAAACCGUUGUGCGUUUUUAACGUACCGAGGGUUCGAAUCCCUCUCCCUCCGCCA